GAUCUGGAUGGGAAAGAUAUGAGAUAUCUACUGAGAAAGUUCCCCAAAAUGCCCUUGCCUUUCCUUGCCAUGCGUUCAAGUUUCAGCGUCUCCAUAUGGAUCUUCUCUCUUCAACGGUCGAUGAUCAGAACCUUUUCUCCUUAUCGAUCGACGAUUUUAGCCACUGCACCCGUACCUAUCGAAGAUAUCUUCUCAUCAGAUCGUUAAACCUAAUGAACUAUUUCGUAUAAUCAUCUCAAUCCAUUGUAAACACAAACUGAUUAUCGAUUCGUCAUCCUCGAUUUGAUGCCAUAUGACUUCUCCAGCCAUUGAAUUCUUAUAAAUGUCGUCUGAUUCUUAUCAUCACCAGAUAUGGAGAGUUGAAGACCAUGGAGUUGUCUUCUUCAGAAGUCAUGCGGGUCUGUUUAAAUUUUACAAAAAAAAACAUGUAUUUGUUACUGAGGUGAAAUAGCUUGGAUGUAACUACUAAACCAUUUUGUUGCGAAGAUUAUGAAGAAGACAAUUGAAGAUUGUUAUUUUAUGUUUAAAAUGACGGAUUUCGGAAACCAUUUGGGUUUAGAACUUUAUUAUUUUGAAGCAAUUUUGAUUAUUUGUUAUUAGAACUUGUGUUAAUAUGAAAAUUUUAAAUAACUUUUUAAUAAAAAUGUUAAUUUUGAA